rnacentral:rRNA from 1 species
AAGUUUGGUGAACCUUAUCACUUAGAGGAAGGACAAUUCGUAACAAGGUUUCCGUAGGUGAACCUGCGGAAGGAUCAU